AUGCACAGGGCAGCAUGGAGCUCGCUAGUGCAGCUCACCUGGUGGUCAGUGUGGAAGGAGCGGAACUCGCGGAUUUUUGACCACAAGAACUCGACGGAAGAACAGGUGCUGGAUCGAAUCAAGAAUGAUCUCAAUGACUGGACGGUGGCAGGCAAGCAUAAGGUGGCCCUAAUGAUUCACAGACCUAGGGAACCAGAUUAG
rnacentral:rRNA from 1 species